ACGGUAUUGAAGACUCAUUGGAAUGGUCUCCUCGGACAGACACUGAAAAGUUAGCCGUACUGGAGUUCAGGUGCUGGGGACAUGAGCGUGUGCCACCUUUUCUGGCUGUUGUGGAAUCUGCACGAACAGAACCUUGAGCAUUGUUGACAAGAGAGAGAGCCAUGGUUCUUUGGGGGACCAUAAUGGCUGUAUCUCCAGAGAAGUGUAGAUGUUCACCUUGACAUCUAUUGAGCCCUCACGAGGCACCGGUCUUCCAGAUUCUCUCGUACAGUCUUUCCUGCCAUCAGCCUUGCUCCCACCCAGAUGACUGCUAUGAACAAGGCUGGUGACACUGUUAUGGUGUCGUAACUACGUGCAGGAUCAGACUUCUUUGGUGAAUCUUCCACAGAGUCUUCAUGAACCAGGUUUCUCUAACUGAAGAUGACCCGGGAGUCCUGACCCCCCUGUCUUUACCUCUGAGACCACAGUGUCGUGGUAUCUUGUGACCUGGUCAGACAAUCCCUUCUUUUGCACCGCUGAUCAAGUCAGCACACGCACUUGACAGAGACUUCACCUAGCCACUGAUGAGGGUGAACACCCACCUCCGGUUCCGCGGCUGCCUUCCCAGCAUCUUUAGAAGCCACCGUGACUGGAAGACAACUGUAGAACAAGAGGUUCUGAGCGGCUGAAGCAAAGAGGUGCAAGUGAAGACAGCAACAAACGAUGGAGCAGAGCUAGCUAGUCUGCACCCACAACAAACAAUGGAACAGAGCGGAGCUCAGCAGCCCCCGAAAUUGCAUCUGAGCGGCUCAUUGCCCUUAGGCCUGUGGAAAGGCAGAAGCAGGGUGGAAAGCCCAUGACAGUCAGAAAACAGAGAAAGAGGGCUAAGACCAGAAAUAGCCCCCAAGAACACACGCCCGGUGACUAUUUCCUCCAACUCGCCCCGCUCCCCGGGAGUUUCCGCCGUCUGCUAACAAUGCUAACAAAUUAUGAAACCGUCUCUGGAUCAAUCCCUUGGUGCAGGUGGAAUCAUUAGGAUCUAAUCAUCUCUCAAAAAUUAAUGCAUCCGUUGAGGACCACAUCUCCAACAUAAGAGCCUGGGGGUGGGGAGUUAAUGACAUUUGGCGGAAGGGACCUGGAAGGGACCCAGAACAAGGGGAUUCUUCCUGAGAGGCCAAUCUCAAGACAGAUAAGGGAAGUUCAGAAAAUGCAUCUCCCUGUGCUUUGAGAGAGAAGCAGAAGACAGGUGGCAAUAUUCUCCUUCAGUCCAAGGCUCUUAGUAAACUGCUGUGACAUGCUUUGUGGCAUCCCUCUAGCCAUUGCGCUUGCUGUGUUAGUGUUCAUAAAAAGUUCUGGUUUGCAACAAGAGCACACUUGGUAGUAGGACACGUGCUAGGCAUGCACAAGGAUAGUCAGACUUUCUUUGGACCACCAACGCCCAAGUAAUGACACAGAGACUUCUUAUUAAGUAUGAACGCUUGGCCUUAGUGUAGGCUUGUUCCUAAGCAGCUCGAUAACUUAAAUUGACCCGUUUAUAUUAAUCUACAUUCUGCCACUUGUUUUACCUCUUCAGUUCUGUAUGUCUGACUUGCUCUGUAUCUCACCGCCUCUUCUCUUCUCAGAGUUCCUAUCUCUGCUUGGAAGUCCCGCCUAUCCUCUUCUGCGGGCCAUUCAGCUCUUUA